CGGUGUACUGGCUCAGGGCCAGGAUCCGGCCCUCGGGAGCUCGGAGCACCUGCCGUUCCAGCCGGCGCAGCACCGG
rnacentral:tRNA from 1 species